UGGAGGCAGCAGUAAGGAAUCUUGCGCAAUGGGCGAAAGCCUGACGCAGCGACGCCGCGUGCGGGAAGAAGGCCUUCGGGUUGUAAACCGCUUUCAGGAGGGACGAAGCCACUCGGGUGAACAGCCCAGAGGGUGACGGUACCUCCGGAAGAAGCCCCGGCUAACUACGUGCCAGCAGCCGCGGUAAUACGUAGGGGGCAAGCGUUGUCCGGAUUCAUUGGGCGUAAAGAGCGUGUAGGCGGCCAGGUAGGUCGGUUGUGAAAACUGGAGGCUCAACCUUCAGACGUCGACCGAAACCAUCUGGCUAGAGUCCGGGAGAGGAGAGUGGAAUUCCUGGUGUAGCGGUGAAAUGCGCAGAUAUCAGGAAGAACACCCGUGGCGAAAGCGGCUCUCUGGAACGGUACUGACGCUGAGACGCGAAAGCGUGGGGAGCGAACAGGAUUAGAUACCCCCGUAGUCCC
rnacentral:rRNA from 1 species